CAAUAGCCCCGAUAGAAGCGACAUCCUUUUUUGUUUUUCUUCUGCACUUUAAUUAUAAAAUUUAAAAAUGUUCUGAAAAACAAAAAAGAUACAGCGGAUAGCGGGAUCUGGC
rnacentral:sRNA from 1 species